rnacentral:lncRNA from 1 species
UUGAACAAAAACAACCUUGUCAGAGUUUUCUAUCAUUUAGUAGGAUUAGAAGAUAAGACUGUGGUAGUUUUGGGUACCAUCAACCUUCUCCCAGUACUAAGUGAUGAAAAGUAGAAGCAAUAGUUGUAUGCAGAGUUCGCGGUGGUAGAUAUCCCAUUUGCACACAAUGUGAUACUCAGUCGUCUAGUCCUAAACUCCACGGUAUUGUUAUUAACAUGGGUGCUAUGUGCCUUAAGCUUCCAUCUCCAGAG